rnacentral:rRNA from 1 species
UGGGGAAUAUUGCACAAUGGAGGGAACUCUGAUGCAGCGACGCCGCUUGAACGAAGAAGGCUUUCGAGUCGUAAAGUUCUUUUAUAUGGGAAGAUAAUGACGGUACCAUAAGAAAAAGCCCCGGCUAACUACGUGCCAGCAGCCGCGGUAAUACGUAGGGGGCUAGCGUUGUCCGGAAUCACUGGGCGUAAAGGGUUCGCAGGCGGAAAUGCAAGUCAGGUGUAAAAGGCAGUAGCUUAACUACUGUAAGCAUUUGAAACUGCAUAUCUUGAGAAGAGUAGAGGUAAGUGGAAUUUUUAGUGUAGCGGUGAAAUGCGUAGAUAUUAAAAAGAAUACCGGUGGCGAAGGCGACUUACUGGGCUCAUUCUGACGCUGAGGAACGAAAGCGUGGGUAGCAAACAGG